GACGAACGCUGGCGGCGUGCUUAACACAUGCAAGUCGAACGAACUCGGACUUCGGUCCACAUGAGUGAGUGGCGAACGGGUGAGUAACACGUGAGAAACCUGCCCCGAAGUCGGGAAUAACUCAGGGAAACUUGAGCUAAUACCGGAUGCCCUCUUACAGUCGCAUGGCUGAAUGAGGAAAGAUUUAUCGCUUUGGGAGGGUCUCGCGACCUAUCAGCUAGUUGGUGAGGUAAUGGCUCACCAAGGCAUCGACGGGUAGCUGGUUUGAGAGAACGAUCAGCCACACUGGAACUGAGACACGGUCCAGACUCCUACGGGAGGCAGCAGUGGGGAAUCUUGCACAAUGGGCGAAAGCCUGAUGCAGCGACGCCGCGUGGGGGAUGAAGGCCUUAGGGUCGUAAACCCCUUUCAGUAGGGACGAAAAUGACGGUACCUACAGAAGAAGCUCCGGCCAACUACG
rnacentral:rRNA from 1 species